UUGCCAGCCGCCGCGGUAGUACGGAGGGUGCAAGCGUUAUCCGGAUUUAUUGGGUCUAAAGGGUGCGCAGGCGGACCAAUAAGUCAGUGGUGAAAUCCCGGGGCUCAACCCCGGCACUGCCAUUGAAACUGUUGGUCUUGAGUACGGUUGAAGUAGGCGGAAUGUAGCAUGUAGCGGUGAAAUGCAUAGAGAUGCUACAGAACACCGAUCGCGAAGGCAGCUUACUAAGCCGAUAUUGACGCUCAGGCACGAAAGCGUGGGGAGCGAACAGGAUUAGAUACCCUGGUAGUCCACGCCGUAAACUAUGAUCACUCGUUGUUGGCGAUAAACAGUCAGUGACUAAGCGAAAGCGAUAAGUGAUCCACCUGGGGAGUACGGAUCGCAAGGUUGAAACUUAAAGAAAUUGACGG
rnacentral:rRNA from 1 species